rnacentral:misc_RNA from 1 species
GACGGACCAAGAUGGCGGCGCGGCCUUCUGGUGACGCCUCGGAGGAAGAGGUCCAGCGCCAUGGAAAGCAGAGCUUACACCUUCAUAAAAAGUUCCAUGGUAGAGAAGCGGUCUCAGAUGAUUGAAAAAAUCAUCCGCGGACUCCUGCCAAGAAUGAUGGACCCCAGGGAACGAUCAGCGGAGACCGAUCAGAUCUUGCAAUUCUGCUCGGCCCUCGGCAAGAUCCUUCCGAGGCACAAGGACCUCUACAAUUGGGUGGACGUCGAUCAGCGAGCCUUCGUUCCUUACAAUCUGACGCACCUCCAGGAGAGUUUCGGUUAUAUAAGGUGGUGGACGCUUCUGAACACUACGCUGGGUCCAGUUAGUAUGCAGCUCCAUGGUCGCGACCACGACCACGACCGAGAAAUCGACGUCGACGACCAGCUGUACGUCUACGUCACCGUUCCGCAAUAUUUCCAGGGCCUUGGAAAACUGCUGAACCGUUUUUCACGCCGGGUCAUUCACAACGGACUUCUGGUGCUGUAUGCAGCAGACACGCUGCACGAUGUAGUGAACGUGAGUGCAAGCAAGAAUUGGAAUGCAUCCUGCAGCAAGCUCACAAGGAACGUCUUCAGCUCCGCCGUCGGGGCUCUUUACGUGCGGCAGUAUACCUCGGAGUUUCUGGAAACGAUAGCCAAUCGGGUGGCGGGACUUUUUGAACGAGUUAAGGAAACUCUCGCGGAGAGGCUCCUCGUAAUGUCCUGGCUCGAUGACGGGACGAGGACUCAAGCUUUAUUGAAAUUGAAAGCUCUGAGAGGUACGUUUCAUGUGUGGCCGAGUUACUACAACGACAGUUUACUGAACAGCGAAAUGAUGGAGGUCGCCAUCGAUCACGAGGAUUUUUUUGCAAGUGUUCUACGGAGAUUUCGACAAAUCCGGAGCAUAAACGGGAACGCGUUACGAGGGAGUAUCAGAGAAAGGUGGCGCCAUCCAUACGCAGUGAAUGCUUACUAUGAAUCCUCCACGAACUCCAUCGUGAUUCCUCUAACCCUGAUGACUGCAUGGUCUUGGUCCUGGGAUGGAGGUCCUGCAUAUGCCGCACAUGCAACAUUGGGAUCGGUGAUCGGCCACGAGAUUUUGCAUGCCUUCGAUCUUCAUCAUCGUGGACAACCAUCGGAUCCGGAUUUCGACAAAGAUCCCUGGUUAUGGUUAACGCCAGAAACUUGGAAGAGGCUAGAAUCAAGGAUAGAAUGCGUCGCUAAGCUUUAUGCUAGAAGUUUUUGGAGAAAAGUGAAGCUUUUUGGGAACAGCGUUGACGUUCAAUUUGACUGGAACAUAACGAGGAAUGAAAACGUGGCUGACAUCGGAGCCUUGCAGAUUUCUUACCAAACCUGGCACACAUUGACCAAUGGAAAGGAUCGGAGCCUGCCAGGGCUGGAAGGACUUCGUCCAAGCCAGCUAUUCUUCAUAAGCGCUGCCCAGACAUACUGCUCUAACAUGACUGCCGAGGCCUACAUUCUUUCCGUCGAGCUAGACUAUCACUCUCCAUUUCCUGAGAGGGUGAACGGUAUCAUGAUGAACUCCCCAGCCUUCGCCGAAGCGUUUCGUUGUCCUGCCGGCGCCAGGAUGAACCCUACGAAGAAGUGCAGUACCUGGUGAUAGCGAAGUGAGGACCGAAUCACGUCUUAAAAUGGAUUUUGUUCAUCGAAGGCUCGACAGAGUUAUCGAGCCGAGGAGGAGCGGACAGCCGACGAGUCCUCUGAAGGGGCUCGUUUUGGAGAGUUUUUCGGAGGUCGUUUAUCGAGAUAGAGUUUCCCUCGUCCUGCGGACACCGAUGGAAGGGUCUGGCACCUUUGCGUGGAUUAGGUCGCGAAGUUUAAAUCCGACAAGCUUGUUAUAGCGUUUUUCAAAGUCUAAUGGCAGAGAGAGAGAGGGGCUGUCGCCGGCAGAGCGCGACGUCCGAGCGGUAUUAAUGUUAAAUUUAUUAUGAAGUUUUAGGAGGUUCUAGAGUAACAUAGGGAGAGCAAUAAGUACACGUAGUUGACCUAUUCGCUUUGACCGUUCGGUUUGCAGACUCGUAGUACAUGUUCGUCGAGUGUCUCGACUGCGAGCUCAGGACUGGGAGAUCGAGCUCGAGGUAGGGAAGGACGAAUCGAAUUGUUACCCUCCGAGGUAAUUGUCGAUGCCGACCACUAGGGGGUAACACCGUUAAAGUUUCUUUACAUUUUCUUCGUUCACUCAAGCAAGACAUCGCGAACUGUGAUAUCCUUAAGCAUUACGCGUUCGAAGGGGCUCUCUUUCCCUCUUCCUCCCCGGUCGUCUCCCGUCUCCUUCCCGUUUGUUCCUCUACCUCUUUUGCCUUUUGUCGCGAGCACGAGUACCAAGACUCCUUCCGAUUCUGAUCAUCCUGAAGGAACGUCGGGCACGAUCAAAUGGUCUCGCUCAAAGACACGCCGGUCCCUUCGAAACGAAAGCAUAAACUCGUGAAUUACAAAACACCGUUGUUAAUCUAAGUCUAUGAAGAUAUUAUUGCUGAUAA